AUUGAACGCUGGCGGCAUGCCUUACACAUGCAAGUCGAACGGCAGCGCGGGGGUAACCCUGGCGGCGAGUGGCGAACGGGUGAGUAAUAUAUCGGAACGUACCCAAGAGUGGGGGAUAACGUAGCGAAAGUUACGCUAAUACCGCAUACGAUCUAAGGAUGAAAGCAGGGGACCGCAAGGCCUUGUGCUCCUGGAGCGGCCGAUAUCUGAUUAGCUAGUUGGUGGGGUAAAGGCCUACCAAGGCAUCGAUCAGUAGCUGGUCUGAGAGGACGACCAGCCACACUGGGACUGAGACACGGCCCAGACUCCUACGGGAGGCAGCAGUGGGGAAUUUUGGACAAUGGGGGGCAACCCUGAUCCAGCAAUGCCGCGUGAGUGAAGAAGGCCUU
rnacentral:rRNA from 1 species